CCGAGUUUACAACUCCCAAACCCCUGUGAACAUACCACUUGUCUGCCUCGGCGGAUCAGCCCGCUCCCGGUAUAAACGGGACGGCCCGCCAGAGGACCCCUAAACUCUGUUUCUAUAUGUAACUUCUGAGUAAAACCAUAAAUAAAUCA
rnacentral:misc_RNA from 1 species